rnacentral:rRNA from 1 species
GAUGAACGCUGGCGGCGUGCUUAACACAUGCAAGUCGAACGGAAAGGCCCAAGCUUGCUUGGGUACUCGAGUGGCGAACGGGUGAGUAACACGUGGGUGAUCUGCCCUGCACUUCGGGAUAAGCCUGGGAAACUGGGUCUAAUACCGGAUAGGACCACUUCUUGGAUGUUGUGGUGGAAAGUUUUUUCGGUGUGGGAUGAGCUCGCGGCCUAUCAGCUUGUUGGUGGGGUAAUGGCCUACCAAGGCGUCGACGGGUAGCCGGCCUGAGAGGGUGUACGGCCACAUUGGGACUGAGAUACGGCCCAGACUCCGACGGGAGGCAGCAGUGGGGAAUAUUGCACAAUGGGCGCAAGCCUGAUGCAGCGACGCCGCGUGGGGGAUGACGGCCUUCGGGUUGGAAACUCCUUUCGCUAGGGACGAAGCGUUUUGUGACGGUACCUGGAGAAGAAGCACCGGCUAACUACGUG